CCCAAACCAAUAAAGUUUUCUUUAUUGGGGUUGCGGACAUAUCAUAACGAAGAGGUAUCGUAAUUGAAGAGGUUUGGAAAGACCCACCACAGAAGGUAAUAGUCCUGUAUGUUAAACGAGAAGACUUUAGAUAUGAUCCAGAGUACCACGGGACACGUGAAACCCUGUGGGAAGCAGGAGGGACCACCCUCCAAGGCUAAAUACUACCUAGUGACCGAUAGCGUAUAGUACCGUGAGGGAAAGGUGAAAAGAACCCCGGGAGGGGAGUGAAAUAGAACCUGAAACCCUGUACUUACAAGCUGUGGAAGCACAUUUCUUGUGUGACCGCGUACUUUUUCUAGUACGGGCUCACGAGUUACGUUAAGUCGCACGGUUAAGCACUUCUGGUGUGGAUCCGUAGCGACAGCGAGUUUUAAC
rnacentral:rRNA from 1 species